rnacentral:rRNA from 1 species
GGGGUUGUGUGACCCUUGGGCUGAGUCGGGGCGUUCGGGGUUCUUUUCCUCUCUUGGUCUUGGGGCGCACCGCGAGGCCGCGUUCAGAGAGCCGAGGGCAGAGGAGCAGAGGCGCCGCCACGGCCUUCCAUGCCGCCGAUCGAGAGAAGGGACAGCGGAGGCGAAGGAAAUGAAAGCGCGCGGACGUAACCCAAAGCGGCAGCCAGGCACUGGCAGGCACCUCCCCCGAAAAGAGCUAGCGACAACACGCAACACUACACUACCGCUACCUAGAAGAACUCUCGGUUCUUUUAGAGACCGCACGGCCACCCACGUCCCCGUGUAACUAACCUCUUCCCCCCUUUGGGCCCCGGAAGACAAGGCGCGAUCGAGCGGGUCUAAAACUAAAAACCUCAAGAUGCAACAGACCAAAAGAGAGCCAAGUCGGCCCUCCAUCAUGUUAGAAGGUUAGUAGACGCGGGGUACGCCAGUCUAAAGCUUUAAGAUGGUUCAAAUAGACCUUCUGAGGACGAUCCACAGCUUAGUAAUCUACGUGUUUCCCUUGAGCAGUUUUUGUUCUUUAGUUUCAGAGUUCCUUACGACUUUCUACACGAACGUAUCUUCUCUAGAGAAGACACUCUGGUUCUUGUAGUGGUGAGACGCACCCGGGUAAACCAGUGGAGAACUACACUCGUUGGUGGAACGGACGUAGUUGCGGUGCGGUAAGUCUGAGGCGAUACUGCUUAGGUGGUCUCACGACCUAGUACUGAAGCCCCUCCGACCGACUUCACAGCAUCGUAUAAAUUCACCAUCGGUGUUCUUAUAAUCACCGGCACUGAAUAUGAGAACUUCCGUACCUCUUGUCACCCUUCUAGCAUUACCCAUCCAUACUCCACCCCUCUAACAAUCCCUUUCCUCGUAAACCGUUCCACGUGAUGCGGUUCUUGGAACUCAGUUUGGCUCCGCAGCGGUAUUUCUACAACCUGUUCCUCUUCCACGACUUCCAGCCCGAGCGCCUCGUCCAGUCCGCACUCUAGUGGUGGUACGCCAACCAUCGCGUGUUUUCGUAACAAGUCGAGGUACUCCAGUACCGCUGUGCUUCGUUCUAGAUGAAGCAGUACCUCAUGUACUUUCCGCCACUCGAGAAACUGUUCCAAAGGUUCCGACCGUUCGAGUGGCUCCUACGACGUGCGUUCAUAAAGGUCGUCGAGUAGUCACGUCACCUAAUGACGGUGUCGGCUCCGCACAUAGUGGCCCUGAACUUCGGACUCUUGGAUGAGGAACUACUCUUACUUUUGGACUUCCAAAGACUAAAACCCGACUCACGUGAAAGUCUUAGCUUCUCGGUUCUACCGUACGAGGUGUGGUGGACACCUAGCGGACGUAUACACCGAGGUCUCCACUAGUCGUUCCCUCCGAUACUACCACGUUUUAGUCUAUAGACCAGAACGCCACAGUAGGAGAAGCAAGAACAACGACCAAUGGAGGGAAAGGUUCCAGUCUUGAACUAUCUCUACAUGGCCUUCUAACUCUUUCCGCUAAAGUCCACGGGACCGACCCAAAGGGUUUUUGAAGUCUUCGACAACAUGUUCUAGUACCUGGGACUAGGCUUGUUCUCCUAUAGUUAGGUCUUCUAUUUCCUCAGGUGGACCAAGGCCUUUCCAGGGCCCCUCUUGGAAUGUCACUUCCUCUCUGACGGUUCCAAACUGGAGAGACCGGAUAAGCAGCUCUUCCUCUCGUUUUUCCUUCGUUCCAAGUGAAGUCUUGUCGGACGGAGUCGGUAACAGAGCUUCGACCUUCGACAACGCUUCUGCGACUUAGAGUCCCACUCCUUCUUCCUAUUACCACAACAGUUCUACGUUCACUCCUUCCUUCCGUCCUUACCACAAGAAGUCAAACUGAGCCUCUAGAAACUCUAGUCGGGGAGCAUGGUAGAGUAACUCUACUUUGUUUGUUCGCCACUAAGUGACCUCAUGGUCUUCGAUAACCUCCUCUCGUAGGCCGGUCGUGACUUCCUGUAAACAGACCCGUACCGUACCUCGACUACCAGUCGUCCUCGGAGUUCCCAUCGAAAUCUAUAGAGUGAAUAAUACAAAUCAAGGCGUUGAAAAAAGAAAAGUCGAGCUCAUUAACACAAUAUAUAUAUGAAACGUACACACGAGAAACAGUGUUUAUUUAACAAGGAAGAAGACAUAAACUGUUCAUUAUUGACAACGAUUCAACUCCUGUACCUAAUUCGACAAAGAAACUACAUUGUAUAUAGUAUUACUUUAUGUAUAACUAUACGAAAC